rnacentral:snRNA from 1 species
GCUCACUUGGCAGCACAUAUACUAAACGGUGCAGAGAUUAGCAUGGCCCCUGGGCAAGAAUGAUACACAAAUUCGUGAAGUGUUCCAUAUUUUA